GAUGAACGCUGGCGGCGUGCCUAACACAUGCAAGUCGAACGGGGUUCUAUAUCGGAAGUUUUCGGAUGGAAGAGAUAGGACCCAGUGGCGGACGGGUGAGUAACACGUGGGUAACCUGCCUCAUAGAGGGGGAUAACAGAGAGAAAUCACUGCUAAUACCGCAUAAGCACACGGGAUCGCAUGAUCCUGGGUGAAAAGAUUUAUCGCUAUGAGAUGGACUCGCGUCUGAUUAGCUGGUUGGCGGGGUAAAGGCCCACCAAGGCGACGAUCAGUAGCCGAUCUGAGAGGAUGGCCGGCCACAUUGGGACUGAGACACGGCCCAGACUCCUACGGGAGGCAGCAGUGGGGGAUAUUGCACAAUGGAGGGAACUCUGAUGCAGCAACGCCGCGUGAGUGAAGAAGUAUUUCGGUAUGUAAAGCUCUAUCAGCAGGGAAGAUGA
rnacentral:rRNA from 1 species